GCCGGGCCCGUACACCAGCGCAUGGCUCCGGCCCACGCUCUGCGGGAAGCGGCAGUCGUAAUAGGCCGGCUCCAGGGACUCGCCGCCUUUGUACUUGGAGAACAGGGGGUUGACGAACCCGGGCGAAUUCCUCAAUUCCUCAGACUCCCGGCGGUGGCGGCGCUUACACGCGAUUCGCGUUCAUCAAUCCACGACAUGAAGACAGGCGAGAGGGAGAGAGGGAGAGAGGGAGAGAGGGAGAGGGGGAGAGUGGGGGGCGGGGGGUAGAGGGAGAGAGACAGAGAGAGAGAGAUACCUGAGCCAGCAGGUCAACUCAGGUUACCUCAACAGGUAUAAGACCCCCCCGAGGGGUUGAAUGCCAACAAGAAAGUUGCUCCCCUAACCCCCAAAGAUGGGCUCCCCAGGGGCGUCCUUAAGUCUGGGGACUCUGAGGAAGAACAAGCACAUCAUAUCCCCAAACACUUCAGGCAUCAGAACCCUCCAUGACUCUUGCCCCUCUCCAGGGUGGGAAGCUGCCCUGUCUUCCCUAGAUCCUUUUCUCUUGCCUGCCUGCGUGCUGUGGGUAGUGGAGAGGGCCAGAGGCCGGGGGCACUCCAUAUACCCAGUCAGGGCUGCACUGACCCUUCAGACACCAGCUCCUGCCUGGGCUUGCCACGAGCUUGCUGGAGAGCAAAGCUGCUGGUGGGGACAGAGAAGGAGAGGGCAGCUGGUGGGUCCCUGGCUUCUGGCUGGGCUGAUCCAGGAGGUUUCUUCUUGGGAGACCCGUUGUAUCUGGGUUGGAGGAGACUAGAGCAGGCCUCUUAGCUGUCCCCACAUACCCUAACCCCAUAGGAAAUGCCAGUUCAGCUAGGAGGGGCCCCCUGGCUUCACCACACACACACCCCUACACUUCCCCAGGCAGGCUGCCCAGGCCAGGAUGUGGAUGGGAACUGUCAACAGACACUCUUUAAAUAUUUACCCACACUUUCUCUGGGGGGCUUCCCCCAUCCCCAAGACUGGGUAAAUUCAAGUUAAUUCUAAUGGAUAAAGGAACCUUAUUCCAUCAGCACCCUUUCCUGGCCAUAAGCAUGUACAAUUAUGUGGACUUCACCCAGACAGAGAGAAAAGGAGAAAGUCUGAGAGCUGUGGAUAUGUGCGCUGUGUGCAGGUGAAUGAAGAAGAGCAAUAAGAAUGAUUUUUCCGGUCCUCCCCCCUCCACAGUGUGUGAGGUUCUCAUACACAGGGCAACGUGGGGCCAUACUCGGGAUCCACACGUACUAUAUGUGCUACCUUCCAUUCUGAAAAACAUCAAAUGCAUGCUCACUCAGCUAUCACGCAUGCCAGGAAGCACCCCUGUCACCUCACAGACACUGUGCACACACACGCACAUCCGGGCACAUAUGAAAAUAAGACCUGAUCAACACACAUGCAGCUUUAGCCCUUUGCAUCAUGAAAAAAAAUUGCUACCUGUUUUCCUUCCACAUCCUGGGGUUUCAGGGCUGGAUGAGGUAGGAGGCGGUUAGAAAACCAGAUCUUUUUCUUCCCCAUCCAGAGCCCAGCUCUGGGGAUGGAGGAAGAAAUGAAAGUGCAGGGGAGGAUGGUGUAGAGAGAAUGAGCUUCCCCCUUUUGUAUCUAAAUAAUUGCUGAGGAAAUGGCCACUCUCAGCCAAAUUCCCAAAGGACAGUCACUGGUGGCCCAGCAAGAGACGCUUCCAGGAUCCCCUGAAUUUGGAAGAACCUACCCCCGUCUGACUUAGGGACCGCCCAAACUCUGUGACACCCAGAACUCUGGCCCUGGAGCAGCAGGAGGGGAGGGUCAGCGGAGGGCCGUGCCAGGGCUGCAGGCCUCCCCAGGGUCCAGGGCAGUAGAGGGCAUGACAGAGGUCUCCUCCACUACCAGAGCACUCCGCAGCCUUGGUUCUGGCCCUGCCUUUUCUGAGCCUGUUCUGUGGCUACUGAGCUGAACGAGACAGACUCUGGGCUCCCAGCUUCUAGGUCACUGGGGACUGUCAUAAAUACUUUCUCCUCCCCUCCUGGAAAGAGGAGGCUGGGCAGGCCGGAUCCGCUCUGGGGCCUGCGCCUUAUCUUUUAGGGGCUGGGAGGAUAUCUCGACACUUUAUGGUCCAGCGAAAACCCUGCCACAGAGCUAGUCUUCCGGGCCUUUGUGUCCUGGAAUGCGACUGUCCCGAGUGUGCUGCCAGCACCGUCUGCUCCGAGAGCCCACCAGUCCCGAAAUCCCUGGUUGGACUUGGUUUCCCCUUUCGGGAUGGAGCGGGGGGCGUCCCUCGCCUUUUCUUUCUUUCGUUCAUUUGAUUGUUUUUUUUCUUUUACACGUAUCUGGUUGAUUUCGCUCCGGGAGCCUGGAAAUAAAGGAACCGCAAGCAGCCAUCCUUGCUGGGGCGUCUCUGUCCCUCGACCCCCAUCCUUGCUGGGGCGUCUCUGUCCCUCGCCCCGAGGCCUGCACCGCCCUCCUAGGUGAGAGGAUUGAUUUGCUCAGAGCCAGAGAGGCCGGGCUGGGCCGGGGCGCCGGGCCUUCUCGUCGCUGCUCCUCGGGGCCGGGCCUCAAACGUCAGUGCGGCCAGGCCGGCCGGGGGCACCGCCGCCGCCUCUAACAUUGAGCAACAGCGCCACCUCGCGUCCACUUACUCCAAUGCAGUCCAGCCGGGAAAAAGCCAACAGCUUAGAGCAAGCAGGUCCUCAGGCUUGACCCAAAGGUGGGAGGUGGGAGGAAGGAGUUUCCAAAUGGGUGCGCGUGAGAGGGGUCCCCGGAAGGGAUUUCCCUCCGGACCGCUGCUCUUUUGUUUUCUAAAUUCUCGAAAUAAACCUUGUCAAAGGUUUCAUACUAUUUUCUCUUUCUGUCACCCUCCCUUCUCGCAUUAAGAGACACUGUGCAAAGGAACUGCCGCGAUUUCCCUCGCGUUCAGGCGCAUUUCUGGCCUCGGAACACCUCCGCGCACGCAGAUGCACGCGCCGAAGCUCCCGCGACCGCCCGCCCGCGGCGCGCACCCUAAACUCCUCGCUCCUCUUACCCUGCCGCUGGCUCCGCACCGCCUAUUCCGCUGCCGCCUGCAGGACUUUGGGGUGGGAUUCUGACUUCUCCUGGCUCUUUGCCCCCUGGUUUGUAGCCCAUCCCUCUCUCUCACGCGCGCGCUCUCUCCACCUCUCCCUCCCAGCCAGUGAGGUCCUGUUCUCCGUGGACCAUAGACAAAACAUUCCUAUAAUCCGAUUUCAAAGGAAAGAGUGUCCACCUUAUUUAAACCAUAAAACAAUUAAGCCCAGACGUCUAGCCAGCUCCGCGCUGCUGUUUUGUUCGGCCCCAUUCAGAAUCCAGCGCAGGGAGACAAACAGCGCCAUAAAAGAGGCAUUUCGGGGCCGCGGAAAUGUACCUAUCCUCUGCCUUCCCAAGUGGAACAACAUUUAGGGUUUUGUGAUUCUGACAAAGGAGCAGAGGAGAGGUGGGAGGAGAAGAUUAGGGCAGGGGGGCGUUUGCAAGCCCCUCUUUCCUCCCCAGCUUUCGUUUCUUUCCCCAGAUGUGUGUUGUGUUGUUGUAGUUUGAGUUCACAAAUGACAAUAAAUAAAACUAGAAUCCAAUCCUGA